GAGAACGCAGCGAAAUGCGAUACGUAGUGUGAAUUGCAGAAUUCCGCGAAUCAUCGAGUCUUUGAACGCAAGUUGCGCCCGAGGCUUGUCCAAGGGCAUUUCCGCUAGAGCGUCACC
rnacentral:rRNA from 1 species